UUUAAUUAUUUAAUGCUAACAACUGAUUAGAAACCACGAAAGUUAUGAAUACUGUUAAGUCAACUGUUAAAUAACAGCUGUCCCUCAUCCAAGUCUGUAAACAGGCCAUGGGGCAACAACAAACUAACAAAAACAAGUUACGUGAAAUAUAAAUGGACUAAUAAGCAAAAAAAAGUAAAUGACAUGGCCAGCCGUGCGAUUACAAAAGCACAGAAUUCGUUCUAGUCGUACAGUCAUCGUCAAUUAAACUUGUUAUUUAAUUGAAAUCCAGAGCUAGCUAUGUGUUUGGCACUGCGAGUUUAGCAUGUGACGUUCCUCGUAGCAACAAUCAUGUACUAUUUGCUGUCAAAUCGAGCCGGGAGAUGUUAAUUAAAUGUUAUAGUUCCACUUUAAAUUUAUUGAAUUCAAAAUAUUAAUAUCAAUUUUAUAUACAAAUCAUAUGUUUCGUCAUUUCGUAAAUUCGUGCAUACUCAAUCUAACGUAGACCAACAUUUACAUAAAAAGUGCAAUAAAUCAAUGCCCACCAGUGAGAAGGCGGAAGUGACCAAAGCUGACACAACAACAACAACAAAGAGCAAAAGACUGAACAGCCAAUUCUAACGGGAUUUUGGCACAAGAAACAACAACAAACAGUAAAAGAACUUUUGCUUUACAUUUAACGUUGAUUUAUUAAAAUUAACAACGGAAAAAUGGAUGAGGUUUUCUCACUGCACAUGGAAAAGCUCGACGUCUACGACGUAUUUCUCCUG